UACGUAGGUGGCAAGCGUUGUCCGGAUUUACUGGGCGUAAAGAGCGCGCAGGCGGUCGUUCAAGUCGCGUGUGAAAGCCCCCGGCUCAACUGGGGAGGGUCACGCGAUACUGAUCGACUGGGAGGCAGGAGAGGGUAGUGGAAUUCCCGGUGUAGUGGUGAAAUGCGUAGAUAUCGGGAGGAACACCAGUGGCGAAGGCGACUUCCUGGCCUGUUCUUGACGCUGAGGCGCGAAAGCUAGGGGAGCAAACGGG
rnacentral:rRNA from 1 species